UCAGUGCUCAGCAACUGCAACAUCUUACUAGA
rnacentral:piRNA from 1 species